rnacentral:rRNA from 1 species
GGAAUUUUUCUCAAUGGGCGAAAGCCUGAAGGAGCGACGCCGCGUGGGGGAUGAAGGGUUUCGAUCCGUAAACCCCUGUCAUUUGUGAACAAUGGUUAUCCGUGAACAACGGAUGACUUGCUAGUAAUGAAAGAGGAAGGGACGGCUAACUCUGUGCCAGCAGCCGCGGUAAUACAGAGGUCCCGAGCGUUGUUCGGAUUCACUGGGCGUAAAGGGUGCGUAGGUGGCGUGGUAAGUUUGAUGUGAAAGCUCAGGGCUCAACCCUGAAAUGGCAUUGAAUACUACUGUGCUGGAGGUUUGGAGGGGGGACUGGAAUUCUCGGUGUAGCAGUGAAAUGCGUAGAUAUCGAGAGGAACACCAGUGGCGAAGGCGAGUCCCUGGACAACACCUGACACUGAGGCACGAAAGCUAGGGGAGCAAA